CAGGGGUGGGGGGGUCCCUCAGCCCGGACUGUGAGAGGGCACAGGCCAGGCUGAGGGACCCCACUGGUGCCGG
rfam:Myotis brandtii contig275619, whole genome shotgun sequence.